rnacentral:rRNA from 1 species
GAUGAACGCUGGCGGCGUGCUUAACACAUGCAAGUCGAACGGAAAGGCCCUGCUUUUGUGGGGUGCUCGAGUGGCGAACGGGUGAGUAACACGUGAGUAACCUGCCCUUGACUUUGGGAUAACUUCAGGAAACUGGGGCUAAUACCGGAUAGGAGCUCCUGCUGCAUGGUGGGGGUUGGAAAGUUUCGGCGGUUGGGGAUGGAUUCGCGGCUUAUCAGCUUGUUGGUGGGGUAGUGGCUUACCAAGGCUUUGACGGGUAGCCGGCCUGGGAGGGUGAACGGCCACAUUGGGACUGAGAGACGGCCCAGACUCCUACGGGAGGCAGCAGUGGGAAAUAUGGCCCAAUGGGCGGAAGUCUGAUGAAGCAACGCCGCGUGCGGAAUGACGGUCUUCGGGUUGAGAAACGCUGUCGCCUGUGACGAAGCGGGAGUGACGGUAAUGGGUAAAGAAGCACCGGCUAACUACGUG